rnacentral:rRNA from 1 species
UGGAUUAGGCAUGCAAGUCGAACGAAUACCUGGGGGCUUGCUCCCAGGUGAAAGUGGCGAAAGGGGCAGUAAGGCGUGGGUAACGUACCCUCCGGAUCGGAAUAGCCUUGGGAAACUAAGGGUAAUGCCGGGCGACGUAGCGAGGAGGCAUCUUCUUGCUACCAAAUGAAUUUCGCCGGGGGAGCGGCUCACGUAGUAUUAGCUAGUUGGUAGGGUGAUGGCCUACCAAGGCAAAGAUGCUUAGCAGGUGUGAGAGCACGACCUGCGCCACUGGCACUGAGACACUGGCCAGACACCUACGGGUGGCUGCAGUCGAGGAUCUUCGGCAAUGGGCGCAAGCCUGACCGAGCGACGCCGCGUGUGCGAUGAAUGCCUUCGGGUUGUAAAGCAC